GACGAACGCUGGCGGCGUGCCUAAUACAUGCAAGUCGAACGCUGAAGGAGGAGCUUGCUUCUCCGGAUGAGUUGCGAACGGGUGAGUAACGCGUAGGUAACCUGCCUGGUAGCGGGGGAUAACUAUUGGAAACGAUAGCUAAUACCGCAUAAUAGUAGAUGUUGCAUGACAUUUGCUUAAAAGGUGCAAUUGCAUCACUACUAGAUGGACCUGCGUUGUAUUAGCUAGUUGGUGGGGUAACGGCUCACCAAGGCGACGAUACUUAGCAGACCUGAGAGGGGGAUCUGCCACACUGGGACUGUGACACGGCCCAGACUCCUACGGGAGGCAGCGGUAGGGAAUCUUCGGCAAUGGGCGGGAGUCUGACCGAGCAACGCCGCGUGAGUGAAGAAGGUUUUCGGAUCGUAAAGCUCUGUUGUAAGAGAAGAACGAGUGUGAGAGUGGAAAGUUCACACUGUGACGGUAUCUUACCAGAAAGGGACGGCUAACUACGGG
rnacentral:rRNA from 1 species